ensembl:rRNA 5S_rRNA 5S ribosomal RNA
UCAGCCUGAAGGCGCCCGAUCUCGUCUGAUCUCGGAAGCUAAGCAGGGUCGGGCCUGGUUAGGAUCUUGGAUGGGAGACCACCUGGGAAUCCCGGGU